GACGAACGCUGGCGGCGUGCUUAACACAUGCAAGUCGAGCGACGCUCCUCCUUCGGGAGGAUGACGGAGCGGCGAACGGGUGAGUAACACGUGGGCAACCUGCCCCUAGCUCUGGGAUAAGCCCGGGAAACCGGGUCUAAUACCGGAUAUGAGGUCGGAAGGCAUCUUCUGAUCUGGAAAGUCUUUCGGCUAGGGAUGGGCCCGCGGCCUAUCAGCUUGUUGGUGAGGUAACGGCCCACCAAGGCGACGACGGGUAGCCGGCCUGAGAGGGCGACCGGCCACACUGGGACUGAGACACGGCCCAGACUCCUACGGGAGGCAGCAGUGGGGAAUAUUGCACAAUGGGCGAAAGCCUGAUGCAGCGACGCCGCGUGAGGGAUGACUGCCUUCGGGUUGUAAACCUCUUUCAGCAGGGACGAAGCGAAAGUGACGGUACCUGCAGAAGAAGCACCGGCCAACUACGUGCCAGCAGCCGCCGUAAUAC
rnacentral:rRNA from 1 species